rfam:Cucumis melo, WGS project CAJI01000000 data, contig: 08140
GUUUGUAUUCUUCCACAGCUUUCUUGAACUGCAUCCCUUCCUGAACUCAAUUCGCUCUUAAUUUCCCCUUUCUCGAUCUCUCGAUCGAUCUCAAAGCGUUUUUUGUUCAUCGAUUUUGUUGCGGUUCAAUAAAGCUGUGGGAAGAUACAGUCA